UGGAGAAAUAACAGAGUGUGGUUGCC
rnacentral:piRNA from 1 species